UAUAGUUCAGUGGCAUGAGCAUUUGCCUAGCAAGCACAAGGUCUUGAGUUCAAUUCUCAGUA
rnacentral:tRNA from 1 species